rnacentral:lncRNA from 1 species
UAUCACAACCUUUCAAUAAUAAGGAAAUAAGUAUGUCAGGCGUAGGGAUGCGAAGUGAACGGGUGAAUAUUAUUGGCUGAGGAAGGGAAGACGCGAAAUGAAUCAGAAGGAUCUCGACUUUUCCGAGUUGUUCGGUUAAUUAGCACUUCCAAGUAUCACGGAAACAGAUGGAAUGUCUCAUUGUGUGAUAGAAGCAGUUAAUUUGGCUCUUACUGAGUAUUCGGAGGAGGGGUGGAUGAAUUCUCUCGGAGUCCUUCCGUUGCGGUACUGAGGGAUGAAGCAGGAGGAGAUCAUAUCUAAUUAUAUAAGACAUUCUGACUUAUUAAGUCAGUGGAGUCAAUUAAGUCGUUAAUUAUUAUUAAGUCGAAUACUUUGCACGGGAGUCGUAGUGUGCAAAUUUGGAAGUGGCAUUUUUCUUGUUGGACAUCGAUGAACUCGAAUAAGAGUGAAUUUUAAGCCUAAUAGAAAUAUUUUUACCCUAAGUUUACAGUUUAUAGUCAUAAUCCUUAUUCAAACUUAAUUAUUUGGUACGUAAUAGUAAUAGUUAUUAUUGUAUUAUAUUAAUUAUCAUUUGAUUUUGUGAUAUUUUAUCGAUCAUAAUUGUUGGAAUAAGUUUACAGGUAGGAUUAUACAAUCAUAGGAGCUUUUACUGAUUAUUUCUAUCGCAACCUUGGGAAUGAAUUAGAUAUAGCACACUUUACUGUAGUGCGCAAGUAUAACUUUGUUGAUCCAUUAACUGAAGCUCAUACUUAGACGAUAGAGUCUUUGUGGAGUCAUCUCAAGGGUCUACUCAGACGGUUAGGACUAAUUAAUACCUUUAGAGAGCUUUUCUAGACCUAUCUCAACGAGUUUAUAAGGAGGAAGCGUCUCAAGGAUAUUAGUCAUUUUUAUAGAAUUCUUGACGACAUUAUGACCCAUAUUCUAUACGAGUGGAUUUUAUGGCAUAUCCUCACCCAUUACUUUCAUCGAAAGAAGGAAAAGAAGUAUAUCCGAAAUAUUAUUCCCCAAUUGGACUUGUUCGAUAGCUUUGGAUCAAAACACAAACAGUUUCGUUCCUCUAUUUUGUUACAUGUUGAUUCAUUUGGGUUUAAUUUUUGUUAAAUGUUAAAUUUGUUAGUUAUUAAAUAUUUAAAUUUUUAUUAAUAUACUCAAGGUUUAUAAUUUAUUAUAGUAUUCUUUUCUUUAUUUAAGUAUGUCCUUCCACAUAAUGAGACCUUCCAUCUGUUUCUGUGACCCUUCGAAGUGCUAAUUAACCGAACAACUCGGAAAAGUCGAGAUCCUUCCGAUUUACUUCGCGGCUUCUCUUCCUCAGCCAAUAAUAUUCAUCCGUUCACUUUACGGUCCUACGCUUGACGUAACAUAGACAUUUCCUUAUUGUUGAAAGGUUACGAGAAUUGAUUUUCAACUAUCCUCUGUCGCUGUAUCCAAUUUUGAGAUAGAAAGAAAAAGUAUGACGUGCGGGACAACUUAUACAGGAUACCCUUUUAAUAUAUCUUAAUUUAAUGUAGUAUCUUAAAAGAUCUGGUUAUUAAUUUUCCAGAAAAUAUUAUUAAGUCUCAUUUUAUAUUAAUUUAUAUAAUUGAUUUUGAACUGUUGCAACAGGCUAUACGGACAUUUGCACAACAUUUGACAGAUUGUAUUUAAAUACAAUUUGUAAAAAUAUGACUGACUGAUGACAUUUCUAAAUAAAACUUUUUCAAUGAUAUGAAAGAUCAUAGAAAGAAAGAGAAAAAAAGGAAGAGAAAAGAAGAAGAAUGUAAACACAUUCAAAUCAAGGAUGAGACUUGAUUAGAGUUACCUUGUUGAAUUGGUCGUGGAAAGCGAUCUUUUUAUUAGUAUUAUCCUUCUCUUCUCUGUGUGGCUGACAGGAUGCUGAGGAUCUGUAUCUAAUGGUUCCGAGAUCAAGACCUCCAAAGAACUCGUGUCAUAUAAGACCAUUAUCCAUAUCUUGGACAGCCGGCUGAGCCAAGACAUCUCAGUGGUUUUUAAUGCAUAUAAUACUAAAUACGUGUAAGCGGACGAUAUAUCGCUCACUUCAAAAUGAGGAAAAUGUUAGAAAAAGACUUACUUUCACGUCACAGAUUAAGUGUGGCUGCAAACAAGGAUAUAUGAAUUUUUAGUGCUCAAGAUCCAGUAUCCUUGCGCCGCUUUCCGUCCGAUCAAAAGGAUCCCGAACUCAAUAAUAAGUGGAAAAAUGCGCUUCAAUCUUAGGCGGUGCCUUCUUCCAGCUAUGUACAGUUGAAAAGAACAGAGAGCUAACAGUUUAAAAGUCAUUAGGAGAACAUUGUGAUCCUUCAAAUCUAUUCAAACCACGGGUGAUCCGACCUUUGAGUGCCUUCUCGAAUCCUCUCAGUGCCUCACCACAUCCAACCACCUCUUCCACUGAUACAUCCUAGCUCAUAACGAAGAGGAAAUCUUGCCUAAUCUGAUUUUAUGCUUGUUCGUCCCAUCAUGAGUCUUUUCCAAUAUGAAUAAUUCAUCAUUACUAAAGUCUAAUGAUCAUUCAUAACGGAUAAUUAAGAGAUUACAAUAAUAUUUUAACAAUUUUUUUAAAGUAACAAUUGGUGGAUAAUACUUCUUCCAUUCGAAUUACUGCUUUGUUUGUUUAUUUUUCUUUAAUCAUUGGCCUCUGGUUCGAACACAUUAGUCAUUACAUAAGUGAGACUAUUAUUUACUUAAAUAAAGUAUGCAAGUCUUCCCUCCCGUGAACUUUAUCCUAUAUGAAUUUUUCCAGUACUGAGUAAUCCCAGUACAAACUUUCUCUAGACAAAUUUUCAGUAUGCGAGCUCUCCUGACAUCCAAGAAUAUAUACUUGAAUCAAUGAA